AAGAUUUUAAGUUAAAUAAAACUAGAAGCCUUCAAAGCUUAAAAUAAAACCUUUUUAAAUCUUA
rnacentral:tRNA from 1 species